ensembl:lncRNA
GAAAGUUUCUGCUUGGUGCGGGUGGAAAAAAACAAUGUGAUGCCAUUUUCACUUGUAUGCAUCUUUUUAUACAGAAUGCACCUAAUGUAAUCGUUUUGGUCGGUUGCUUCAUCUGUCUUAUUUGAAGCUUUGCAGUUUGGCUUCUGUGGUUUUAAGACUACAGUAAACGCUGGUAACAUGCAUGUUUUUAGACUAUCUUUUUUAUGGUCAAUGCUUCUGCUGCUCUGCACUUCUGCUUUUCUACUUUCUCCGAAAAAAGAUGGUCUAUUCUGUACUUGAAACUCUAAAUGUGCAACUGAUUCAGCAGAUAAGGAAAAUUUAGUUUUUUGAUUCAGAUUAAUCUCUGGAAAUAAUAAUGACUUUCAUGCAUUUUAGAUGAAUUAAUUCUAUGAACUUUAGAUUGUUUAUUCUUUUGUUAGUCAUAUUGCUGAAAAGUUUGUUGGUAAAAACGGUUGACCAACAGUGUCUGUUUUCCCCUCCUAUGUGAAAGCUUCCUCUUUCUUUUUCUUUGUUAAAGUGAUGUAGUUUCCUGGUGUGUCAGUAGAGCUGCUGUCUGUCUGUCAGUGAAGACGCUGUGUGAGACUCGAUCUGACACUCUUCUGCUGGGAUUGAGCUCUUCUCUUCUGGAGACUGGACUUUAGAGAAAUGAUGCUGAUCUUUGGACUGAUGCUGCUGCUGCAAACUGCUGCAUGUGUGGAGUGGAAUUGCAGCUUUAAUCAAUCAGAUCCCUGUUACACAGCUCUGGGAGACAAACUCAAUCUGGUGAUGGUGCGGGACGCUAGUGAAUAUGACCUGAAGUUAAAAAAGAGAAUAGACAACAACAAAAAAGUUGAUCAAAUCUGUAGAGUAAAAUAUAGCAACAAGAAGGAAUGUGAUCUUUAUAAUAACAGAACUGAAGUGACAGUCAUUAAUGGGACUGUGUUAAUAAAGCGUGUGAUCAGAUCAGAUUCUGGGAAUUACACAUUAACUCUCACUGACUCAGACGGCAGAGAAACAUCUAGAGAUCUUCAAGUGAUUGUUGAAGCUCCUAUUGGCUCAGUGAAUGUGUCAAUCAUCUGCUCCUCCAGUGGGGUGAUGAGGGUGUCCUGCUCCUCUGAGGGGGAUCAGCUCCUCUACAACUGGACUCUGAAUGGAGGUCCACUGAUGGAUGGAAACAGCAGCAUUGAUCUGGAUGAAGAAACUGAUGGAAACAUCAGCUGCAGCGUGAAGAACCAUGUCAGUCACACACAGAAGACCAUUAGACUCCAACCCUGUCCUGGUCCAGAUCGUUUUUGCAGUUUUAAUCAAUCAGAUUCCUGUUACGCAGCUGUGGGAGACAAACUCAAUCUACUGCUGGUGCGGGACGCUCGAGAUCAAGAGCUGCAUUUGUAUAAGAUGUUAAUGGAUAGCAGAGAACUGGAAGUUUUUAGAAUAAAGAACAAAGAAGAGAAAAAACAUGAAUCCAUAAGAAACAGAUCUGAGUUCAUCUUUGAUAAUGGGACUCUGAUAAUAAACCGUGUGAUCAGAGCAGAUUCAGGAAAUUACAGAUUAGAGUUCUAUCACUCGGAUGGCUCAAGAACAUUUAAAAAGCAUCUACUUAUUAAUAUAGAAGCUCCUAUUGGCUCAGUGGAAGUGACAAUCAACUGCUCCUCCAAUCAGAGGUCAGUGUUCUGCUCAUCUGACGGGGAUCAGCUCCUUUACAACUGGACUCUGAAUGGAGAAAUACUAGAACAAGGACCAAUGAAUGGAAACACCACCAUUCAGCUAAAUGAGGGAACUGAUGGAGACAUCAGCUGCAGUGUGAAGAACCACUUCAGUCACGCACAGAAGACCAUUAGACUCAAACCCUGUCCUGGACCAACUACUGCAGCUGUGACCUCUAGUUUGACCUCUACGUCGAAGCAGACAUCAAUAAAUGGUGCGAGUUUCUCAUCAGCUGUUUUAAAAUUCUCUCUGAUUGCUUUGGGCUGCUUUGCUCUCGUCCUGAUUCUGCUGUUCAUCACUUUAUGUUACAUUUACAAGAAGAAGCAGCUCAAGUCAACACAAGCUGCUGCUGGAGGUACAGAGCUCAUAUACGCUGAUAUCUCCCAUGAGAAGAGGAGAGAAAAGAAGAAUACAGAAUCUUUCCAGGAUGCUAAUGUGGAAUAUGCCAUGGUCCAACUGCAGACAGCUAAAGGGAACUAGAAGAAGAAGUAGGAGGAGGAGGUGGUUCAGUACGGCGGGGUGACGUUCACUCUGAACCACUGAAAUGAUCAGCAGCAGCUUCAGGAUUAGUGUGUUUUCAAGGGGUGUAACAGUUCACGGUAAAAAAAAAAUUAAGUACCGCAGUUCAAAGUACAUCUGACAAGGCAUCUGUAAUAUGGUUUGGUAAAAAUUUUAAAGUUUGUCUAAUGUUUCUGUCAGUGGAUAUGCAUUCUGAUUAUCAAAAUAAUUGUUAGCUGCAGCUCUAAUUGACUCAUAUUUUUUUGCCAAGAAAAGCCUUUAAACCUUAUGAUAUGCUUAUGAAAAAUAAAUAAAAAUAAAGACAAAAGGUUGCUAUCUGUGUUUAAACUGAACUAAUUAAAUCCUUGCCAGUUUAAAUAUUUGAGAGCCAGAAGACGAGAAUGGAACUCAUGCAUGCAGUGAGAAAGUGUAUGCAUCUUCCCUGGGAAAUCACGACUUAGGUGCCCUUAAGCAAGGCAUCAAACCCCCAACUGCUCCCUGGGCGGUGCAGCAUAAAUGGCUGCCCACUGCUCCAGGUGUGUGUUCACAGUGUGUGUGUGUGUGUGUGUGCACUUCGGAUGGGUUAAAUGCAGAGCACAAAUUCUGAGUAUGGGUCACCAUACUUGGCUGAAUGUCAUGUCACUUUCACUUUCACUUUCAGUGUUUUAGCUCAGUUCAAAUUUCUGUAACAAUAGGACACAGGAUUGAGAUUCAGAUAUCUGUAUUUGUCCCCAAAGAGGCAAUUCAGUUCUACAGCCAACCCAUCCAAUAAGGUUAUUAGCACACAAUAAUAUAAGGAUUAUAAAGUUAAAAAAUGUAUACAACGAUCACACCCUAACACACACAUACAGCAAAACACACACAUUCACCUGCCAGUGGCAGAACAAAGCAGUGGAAUCCAAGAGCCAUUUAUGUAGUUAUGAGUUCUCAUUCAAGAAUCUUAUAGCAGAGGGAAGGAAUGAGUUUGCAUAACGAUUCGUUUUCCGUAUUGGCACAUAAUACCGCCGACCUGACUGCAUGAAUACAAAUCCAUACCUGAGCACAUGAUCUGGUUGGCACAGUAUUCUAUCUGCUAUUUGGACCACUUUUUUUUUUACC